CCAGAGGAAGCAAAGAUGCCAUAUUGCAUCACCGAGCCAUCAUCAUUCAACACAAGUCAGUAUGUGCAGGUGGCAGAUAUCACAGCACAUAGGAGAAGGAUAGCCCUGGAAGGACUGCCGCUUUUCUUCAGGGAAGAGUCUACAUGCCUUUUCAGGAAAUGCCUGAUGCUGUGAGGAGAGUUGGAUUUGUUGGUGAGAUGCCAC